AACCUCCGCAAUGUGAGAAAUCGCGACGGGGGGAUCCCAAGUGCCAUUCUUAACGGGAUGGCUUUUCUUAAGUGUAAAAAGCUUUUGGAAUAAGAGCUGGGCAAGACCGGUGCCAGCCGCCGCGGUAACACCGGCAGCUCUAGUGGUAGCUGUUUUUAUUGGGCCUAAAGCGUUCGUAGCCGGUUUGAUAAGUCACUGGUGAAAUCCUGUAGCUUAACUGUGGGAAUUGCUGGUGAUACUGUUGAACUUGAGGUCGGGAGAGGUUAGCGGUACUCCCAGGGUAGAGGUGAAAUUCUGUAAUCCUGGGAGGACCACCUGUGGCGAAGGCGGCUAACUGGAACGAACCUGACGGUGAGGGACGAAAGCCAGGGGCGCGAACCGGAUUAGAUACCCGGGUAGUCCUGGCCGUAACGAUGCGGACUUGGUGUUGGGGUGGCUUUGAGCUGCUCCAGUGCCGAAGGGAAGCUGUUAAGUCCGCCGCCUGGGAAGUACGGUCGCAAGACUGAAACUUAAGGAAUU
rnacentral:rRNA from 1 species